UCUGGUUGAUCCCGGCGGAGGUUACUGCUAUCGAGGUUCGACUAAGCCAUGCGAGUCGAAUGUAGCAAUACAUGGCGUACUGCUCAGUAACACGUGGACAACCUACCCUUAGGUCGGGGAUAAACCCGGGAAACUGGGUAUAAUACCCGAUAGUCCUCGGAUGCUGGAAUGCACCGAGGUCUAAAGCUCCGGCGCCUAAGGAUGGGUCUGCGGCCUAUCAGGUAGUAGUGGGUGUAGCGUACCUACUAGCCUACGACGGGUACGGGUUGUGAGAGCAAGAGCCUGGAGAUGGAUUCUGAGACACGAAUCCAGGCCCUACGGGGUGCAGCAGGCGCGAAAACUUUACAAUGCUGGAAACAGCGAUAAGGGGACCUUGAGUGCCAGGUUACAAAUCUGGCUGUCGUGAUGCCUAAAAAGCAUUGCAUAGCAAGGGCCGGGCAAGACCGGUGCCAGCCGCCGCGGUAACACCGGCGGCUCGAGUGGUAACCGCUAUUAUUGGGUCUAAAGGGUCUGUAGCCGGCCGGAUAAGUCUUUUGGGAAAUCUGGCAGCUUAACUGUCAGGCUUUCAGAGGAUACUGUCUGGCUCGAGGCCGGGAGAGGUGAGAGGUACUUCAGGGGUAGGGGUGAAAUCUUGUAAUCCUUGAAGGACCACCAGUGGCGAAGGCGUCUCACCAGAACGGACCUGACGGCAAGGGAC
rnacentral:rRNA from 1 species